rnacentral:rRNA from 1 species
GUGCUUGCACCUGGUGGCGAGUGGCGAACGGGUGAGUAAUACAUCGGAACAUGUCCUGUAGUGGGGGAUAGCCCGGCGAAAGCCGGAUUAAUACCGCAUACGAUCUACGGAUGAAAGCGGGGGACCUUCGGGCCUCGCGCUAUAGGGUUGGCCGAUGGCUGAUUAGCUAGUUGGUGGGGUAAAGGCCUACCAAGGCGACGAUCAGUAGCUGGUCUGAGAGGACGACCAGCCACACUGGGACUGAGACACGGCCCAGACUCCUACGGGAGGCAGCAGUGGGGAAUUUUGGACAAUGGGCGAAAGCCUGAUCCAGCAAUGCCGCGUGUGUGAAGAAGGCCUUCGGGUUGUAAAGCACUUUUGUCCGGAAAGAAAUCCUUGGUUCUAAUAUAGCCGGGGGAUGACGGUACCGGAAGAAUAAGCACCGGCUAACUACGUGCCAGCAGCCGCGGUAAUACGUAGGGUGCGAGCGUUAAUCGGAAUUACUGGGCGUAAAGCGUGCGCAGGCGGUUUGCUAAGACCGAUGUGAAAUCCCCGGGCUCAACCUGGGAACUGCAUUGGUGACUGGCAGGCUAGAGUAUGGCAGAGGGGGGUAGAAUUCCACGUGUAGCAGUGAAAUGCGUAGAGAUGUGGAGGAAUACCGAUGGCGAAGGCAGCCCCCUGGGCCAAUACUGACGCUCAUGCACGAAAGCGUGGGGAGCAAAC